UCAAGCUACAAAGAGCACAAGGGGAAUGCCUUGGCACCGAGAGCCGAAGAAGGACGUGACUAACUGCGAUAAGCUACGGGGAGCUGUAAGUGAGCGUUAUAUCCGUAGAUUUCCGAAUGGAGCAAUCCGAUUAGAGGAAAGUCUAAUCAUCAUAUACUGAAUACAUAGGUAUAUGAGGGGAACCGCCUGAACUGAAACAUCUAAGUAGGGCGAGGAAGAGAAAUCAACUGAGAUUCCGUAAGUAGUGGCGAGCGAACGCGGAAGAGGCCAAACCUAAUGUAGUAAUAUGUUAGGGGUUCGGACAGUAAAAUGAAUUGUCGAGAUUUAGCCGAAUGUCAUGGGAAGGGCAAUCAAAGAAGGUGAAAAUCCUGUAGGCGAAAAGUUAAGACAUCAGACUGUAUCCAGAGUACCGCCGGACACGUGAAACCCGGUGGGAAUACGGGGGGACCAUCCUCCAAGCCUAAAUACUACUCGGUGACCGAUAGAGAAGAAGUACUGUGAAGGAAAGGUGAAAAGCACCCCGGAAGGGGAGUGAAAGAGAACCUGAAACCUUGUGUUUACAAGCACCGAAAGUUCAUCAACGAACGAUCGGGUACCUUUUGUAGAAUGGUCCGGCGAGUGAAUGUAACUGGCAAGGUUAAGCACUUAAGGUGUGAAGCCGUAGCGAGAGCGAGUCUGAAAAGGGCGCAUGAAGUCAGUUGUAUUCGACCCGAAACCGGGUGACCUACCCAUGUCCAGGCUGAAGUGCAGGUAAAACUUCAUGGAGGGCCGAACCGACUCCCGUUGAAAUGGUAGCGGAUGAGGUGUGGGUAGCGGAGAAAUUCCAAUCGAACCCGGAGAUAGCUGGUUCUCUCCGAAAUAGCUUUAGGGCUAGCCUUGGAAUAGAUUACUGGAGGUAAAGCACUGAAUUGGCUAGGGGCCGAGAGGUUACUGAACCUUAUCAAACUAAGAAUGCCAGAUAAUCGUUUUCCAGGAGUCAGACAGUGGGAGAUAAGUUUCAUUGUCAAAAGGGAAACAGCCCAGACCUACAGCUAAGGUCCCAAAGUAUAGUUAAGUGGAAAAGGAUGUGGAAUUGCAUAGACAACCAGGAUGUUGGCUUAGAAGCAGCCACUCAUUAAAAGAGUGCGUAAUAGCUCACUGGUCGAGUGACUCUGCGCGGAAAAUAUAACGGGGCUAAGCAUGAAACCGAAGCUUGGGCUUGUACUUAGGUACAGGGGUAGGGGAGCGUCGAGUAUGGGGUGAAGUCAGAGCGGAAGCACUGGUGGACUGUACUGGAGUGAGAAUGCCGGAAUGAGUAGCGAGAAUUAUGUGGGAAUCAUAAUGGCCGAAAAUCUAAGGUUUCUUGGGGAAGGUUCGUCCGCCCAAGGUAAGUCGGGAGCUAAGCUCAGGCCGAGAGGCGUAGGCGAUGCACAUACGGUAGAAAUUCCGUAACCACCGAAACUUAAACAGAGGGACACUUCGAAAUAGCGGAACCCGGGCGUUGGUUGACCCGGGCGUAAGGGAGCGAAAUUAGAGUAGCGAAGUCCGCGAUGUUCGGAGGCGAGAAAAGCUCUGAGGUAUGCUAAGGUGCCCGUACCGCAAACCGACACAGGUAGAUGAGGAGAGAAUCCUAAGGCCAACGGGAGAAGGGUUGUUAAGGAACUCGGCAAAUUGACCCCGUAACUUCGGGAGAAGGGGUGCUCCAGAGAUGGAGCCGCAGAGAAUCGGCCCAAGCAACUGUUUACCAAAAACACAGGUUUGUGCUAAAUCGAAAGAUGACGUAUACGAGCUGACGCCUGCCCGGUGCUGGAAGGUUAAGAGGAGAUGUGCAAGCAUUGAAUCGAAGCCCCAGUGAACGGCGGCCGUAACUAUAACGGUCCUAAGGUAGCGAAAUUCCUUGUCAGGUAAG
rnacentral:rRNA from 1 species